GUCCUUGGUUUCAGGGUCAGGCUCUGCCUUUCUGGACCAGGUAUGCUCCCUGUCAUCCCGUGGCCCCUCUACAGGUGGAAACCAAGCCCAGCCCAAGCCAGGAGCCAGAGAAAGGACUCAGCUGGUAUGCCUUAUCUGCUGAGCUCUUUGAGCCAAAUGCAAACGCUGCCGCUCCCAUGAUAGAAGUUCCCACGGCCAGCUCCCCAGUUCCUGGCUGCCAUGCAAGUGGGAUCGCGUUUCCAUUUACUGGGGCCACAGCCAGGCAGAGGGUGUGUGUGUGUGUGUGUGCCUGUGCUCACAGCCCUGUGUGUGUGUGUGUUUGGGGAGUGCAAAUAUUUGCAUAACACAGAGAUCUCUGCAGAUCCAGAC
rnacentral:lncRNA from 1 species